GAUUGAACGCUGGCGGCAGGCUUAACACAUGCAAGUCGAGCGGGGAAGUGUAGCUUGCUACAUUACCUAGCGGCGGACGGGUGAGUAAUGCUUAGGAAUCUGCCUAUUAGUGGGGGACAACAUUCCGAAAGGAAUGCUAAUACCGCAUACGUCCUACGGGAGAAAGCAGGGGAUCUUCGGACCUUGCGCUAAUAGAUGAGCCUAAGUCGGAUUAGCUAGUUGGUGGGGUAAAGGCCUACCAAGGCGACGAUCUGUAGCGGGUCUGAGAGGAUGAUCCGCCACACUGGGACUGAGACACGGCCCAGACUCCUACGGGAGGCAGCAGUGGGGAAUAUUGGACAAUGGGCGGAAGCCUGAUCCAGCCAUGCCGCGUGUGUGAAGAAGGCCUUUUGGUUGUAAAGCACUUUAAGCGAGGAGGAGGCUACUCUAGAUAAUACCUAGAGAUAGUGGACGUUACUCGCAGAAUAAGCACCGGCUGACUCUGUGCCAGCAGCCGCGGUAAUACAGAGGGUGCGAGCGUUAAUCGGAUUUACUGGGCGUGAAGCGUGCGUAGGCGGCUGAUUAAGUCGGAUGUGAAAUCCCUGAGCUUAACUUAGGAAUUGCAUUCGAUACUGGUCAGCUAGAGUAUGGGAGAGGAUGGUAGAAUUCCAGGUGUAGCGGUGAAAUGCGUAGAGAUCUGGAGGAAUACCGAUGGCGAAGGCAGCCAUCUGGGCCUAAUACUGACGCUGAGGUACGAAAGCAUGGGGAGCAAACAGGAUUAGAUACCCUGGUAGUCCAUGCCGUAAACGAUGUCUACUAGCCGUUGGGGCCUUUGAGGCUUUAGUGGCGCAGCUAACGCGAUAAGUAGACCGCCUGGGGAGUACGGUCGCAAGACUAAAACUCAAAUGAAUUGACGGGGGCCCGCACAAGCGGUGGAGCAUGUGGUUUAAUUCGAUGCAACGCGAAGAACCUUACCUGGUCUUGACAUAGUAAGAACUUUCCAGAGAUGGAUUGGUGCCUUCGGGAACUUACAUACAGGUGCUGCAUGGCUGUCGUCAGCUCGUGUCGUGAGAUGUUGGGUUAAGUCCCGCAACGAGCGCAACCCUUUUCCUUAUUUGCCAGCGGGUUAAGCCGGGAACUUUAAGGAUACUGCCAGUGACAAACUGGAGGAAGGCGGGGACGACGUCAAGUCAUCAUGGCCCUUACGACCAGGGCUACACACGUGCUACAAUGGUCGGUACAAAGGGUUGCUACCUAGCGAUAGGAUGCUAAUCUCAAAAAGCCGAUCGUAGUCCGGAUUGGAGUCUGCAACUCGGCUCCACGAAGUCGGAAUCGCUAGUAAUCGCGGAUCAGAAUGCCGCGGUGAAUACGUUCCCGGGCCUUGUACACACCGCCCGUCACACCAUGGGAGUUUGUUGCACCAGAAGUAGGUAGUCUAACCGCAAGGAGGACGCUUACCACGGUGUGGCCGAUGACUGGGGU
rnacentral:rRNA from 1 species